GCCUACGGGGGGCAGCAGUGGGGAAUUUUGCGCAAUGGGCGAAAGCCUGACGCAGCAACGCCGCGUGGGGGAUGAAGGCCUUCGGGUCGUAAACCUCUUUCAGCAGGGACGAAUCAAGACUGUACCUGCAGAAGAAGCCCCGGCUAAAUACGUGCCAGCAGCCGCGGUAAUACGUAUGGGGCAAGCGUUAUCCGGAUUCAUUGGGCGUAAAGAGCGCGUAGGCGGCUUGGUAAGUCAGAUGUGAAAACUGGGGGCUCAACCCGCAGCCUGCAUCUGAAACUUCCAGGCUUGAGUCUGGUAGAGGAAAGUGGAAUUCCUAGUGUAGCGGUGAAAUGCGCAGAUAUUAGGAGGAACACCAGUGGCGAAGGCGGCUUUCUGGGCCACGACUGACGCUGAGGCGCGAAAGCUAGGGGAGCAAACAGGAUUAGAUACCCUGGUAA
rnacentral:rRNA from 1 species